CGCCAACCUGGUCAGGUCCGGAAGGAAGCAGCCACAACGAGCCCCACUUGGGUCGAUGUCCAGCCUCUCACCU
rnacentral:SRP_RNA from 1 species